rnacentral:rRNA from 1 species
CCGGGAUGAGCUCAAAUUUAAAAUCUGGCGUCUUUCAGGCGUCCGAGUUGUAAUCUAUAGAGGCGUUUUCCGCGCCGGACCGCGUCCAAGUCUCUUGGAAUAGAGUAUCAAAGAGGGUGACAAUCCCGUACUUGACGCGACAACCGGUGCUCUGUGAUACGUUCUCAAUGAGUCGAGUUGUUUGGGAAUGCAGCUCUAAAUGGGUGGUAAAUUCCAUCUAAGGCUAAAUAUUGGCGAGAGACCGAUAGCGAACAAGUACCGUGAGGGAAAGAUGAAAAGCACUUUGGAAAGAGAGUUAAACAGCACGUGAAAUUGUUAAAAGGGAAACGAUUGAAGUCAGUCGUGUGAAAGGUAUUCAGCCGUCUCUGGCGGUGUAUUUGCCUUUCACGGGUCAACAUCAGUUUGAUCCGGUAGAAAAAGGCAGGAGGAAGGUGGCACCCUCGGGUGUGUUAUAGCCUCUUGUCAUAUGUGCCGGACCAGACUGAGGAACGCAGCUUGCCGCAAGGCCGGGGUUCGCCCACGUACAAGCUUAGGAUGUUGACAUAAUGGCUUUAAACGACCCGUCUUGA